AGAGUUUGAUCCUGGCUCAGGAUGAACGCUGGCGGCGUGCCUAACACAUGCAAGUCGAACGGAUGCUUUCGGGCAUUAGUGGCGCACGGGUGAGUAACACGUGGUUGAUCUACCCUCAAGUAGGGGAUAACGUUCCGAAAGGAAUGCUAAUACCCUAUAAGCUCCCGGAGUUUAGAAGACUGGGAGAAAAGUUCCGGCGCUUGAGGAGGAGACUGCGAACCAUCAGCUAGUUGGUGCGGUAAUGGCGCACCAAGGCGACGACGGUUAGGGGACCUGAGAGGGUGGCCCCCCACACUGGAACUGAGACACGGUCCAGACUCCUACGGGAGGCAGCAGUGAGGAAUAUUGCACAAUGGGCGCAAGCCUGAUGCAGCGACGCUGCGUGGGUGAUGAAGGCUUUCGGGUCGUAAAGCCCUUUUCUAGGUGACGAGGAAGGACGGUAGCCUAGGAAUAAGUGUCGGCUAACUACGUGCCAGCAGCCGCGGUAAUUCCAGCUCCAAUAGUGUAUAUUAAAGUUGCUGCGGUUAAAAAGCUCGUAGUUGGAUUACGAAGUGGUGUUUAAAUGUUAAUUUUGGUUGGUCUGUCCUUCGGGGCAUUCUGGCUGACUUUGGCACUUACUCACUGAUGUCAUUGUCUUUGCCCAAGGUAAUUGCCUUGUGUGCAUGGCAUUGACCUUCUAUUUUAUGGUAAUGAGGUCAUCUUUCGGGGUGACUCUUCAUUCCAUAUAGUUUACUUUGAAAAAAUUAGGGUGUUUAAAGCAGGCGAAAAGGCUUCGGAAUAUAUUAGCAUGGGAUAAUAGAAUACGAUUUAGGUCGUAAUUUGUUGGUUUCUACGGCUUAGGUAAUGAUUGACAGGGAUAGUUGGGGUCGCUCGUAUUGAGUUGUCAGAGGUGAAAUUCUAGGAUUAACUCAAGACGAACUAAUGCGAAAGCAUUCGGCAAGGAUGUUUUCAUUAAUCAAGAACGAAAGUUGGGGGAUCGAAGAUGAUCAGAUACCGUCGUAGUCUCAACUGUAAACUAUGUCGACCGAGGAUCCGGUAGCGUUACAUGGAUGACCUUCCGGGCACUCUGUGAGAAAUCAUAAGUAUUUGGAUUUCGGGGGGAGUAUGGUCGCAAGGCUGAAACUUAAAGGGAUUGACGGAAGGGCACCACCAGGAGUGGAAUCUGCGGCUUAAUUUGAC
rnacentral:rRNA from 1 species